AGUUUUUUCGUUAAGUUUGCCAUCCUGCAUGCGUCUUCGUUCUUGCAAAUAGUGCGCAUGAGUAACGGGAUGUGCGCAGUCUUAUCAGCCAUUGCGCGGAAUGCUUACUCGUAGUUUCGUGCGGGUUGUUGAUCGUGUUAGACGCGUUUCGUGCGGCCCGUGUCUUGUUCAUAAAUUUUAUGCAAUAAGUGUUUUAUUUUCGUUUAUCGGUCACCUGUAUUUACGAGUACUUGUGUUUGGCGUGUUUAGGGCUUUGUUAAUGAUUAAUCGGGUGUCGAAUAUUUAAAUCUGUUCGUGUAUAAAUCGUCAUCGGUUCUUAGCGUCGUUGCAUGUUUGUUCCACGGUCAACCGCCAUAUUGUCCUUGUGAAUGUUCCUAAGGAAUUGUGUGGAAGUCAAGAAAGAAUUUUCUUGGAGAAUUCUGCGCGAAAUAUAUUCCUACCCAAGGAUCGUUUUCUAAUCGACGGCAUUGUAAUUGUUAUCAAUUGUCAUCAUCACCAUCAAAAAGUAUUUGGAAACUUUGCGCGAAAUAUACGCUCGAAAAUCGUUUUCUUAUCGCUACCAACUGUGACGGAUGCCAUCUUUCAGUUGUCCCUUGCACUCGGAAAAAGUACUUGGAGCGUUGAUACAUACUGCAUCGGAAUAUACACUCGAGGAUUUUUUGCCCUUCGAUCAAAUCGUACAUCAUUCAACUUACUACAACUUCAACGGCAGAGAAGUCUACCAGCGGGUGGAGACCUUGGAGAAGAGGAGCUGCCUUACGACGGAUAUCUCGGCCCGCUAAAGAUUGGCGUGUUAGCGACAUUAUUUUUUGCGCCCAUUUUUUAAAAUCGAACAGAUGACAGACACAUUAUUUUUUUAAACCAGUUCAAUUAAUGCGCACAUGGGAGAACGAAAAAAACUUCCCCACUUUUAAACCACGAACGCAUUCUUUAAGUUCACUUAUAAUUAGAAUUGUAUAUAUUUAGGAACCUUUAACAAUUAAUUUGAUGAAUGCUAGUGGAAUAACAUGCAGUGUAAACUCUUUAUAACGAUGAUCAAGAGUUGUGUAAUUAGUUUUUGCUUCAAUUAGUUCAUUAGUUCAUAAAGACGGAUUGUAAAGUUAUUAAGAGUUUAGAUUGUAAUGCAAAUUUAGUCGCAUCACGACUUGAACUGAAAACUGGUAGUGUUGUCUCUGUAUCGCUAUUACUUGAAAUCAUGCAAUUUAUUGUCUGCGCUUUAUUUGUUAGUAGUAAUGCGUAAUGGGAAGUAUUGGGUAAUUGUCGCACUGCUGCCUAGGUUUUGCUCGCGAGAGGGGCGUUUUAAAAUUUCACUUGCUCGUGAGAAAAGCGCCUUUGAAUUAUCACAGCGGUCUCUAGAGAUAUCGUAUUAGAUUUUCCGUGUUGUAUUAGUGUGUUACAACAUGUGUAAAUUCGAAAAUAGGGUGGUUCAGUGGGAUUUUCACCGGAAGUAUGAAAUUGUUUUAGUAUUUUUGGUGUAGCUCGCGAAUGGGGCGGGACAGAAUUUUCAACGCGGUCUCUAGAGAUGACGAAUUACAUUCUUCGCAUUGUUAUAUUAGUUUGUUGCUGAAGUUGCAUCUGCAACAUAUGAAUAUUUAAAAAUUGAGGGGUUCAGUUAGAUUUUUAGCGCGGUCUCUAGAGACAUCGAAUUAAAUUGUCCGUAGGGUUAGUAAAUUCGAAAAUACGGUGGUUCAAUGGGAUUUAAACCUAAAGUGUGAAAAUGUUGUGCGCGCAGUGGUAGAUUGUUUAUUAGCGUGUCCUCCUGUCUUCCGCGUUUCUUAUCUUUUGUGUAGUUUGUGUUGUCCAUGUAGAACUUGAGAUCUUGUUUAAUUGUGUAUAUGACGUGUGUUUUUUUCCUAUGUAUUAAUAUGUAGCUAUAUUUGUUGUUGUCUAUGUAGAAUUUGUUGUCAUAUGUAGAUGUUUUGUAUUAAUUUGUUCAUGUAUGUGUAUAGAAUAGCUGCUUUGUACAGUAGUUGUUUGUGUUUUAAUGUUUGCUUGCACCUUGUGUUGUGUGUUUUAAUGUCUCUUGUUGUUGUGUGUAAACUAAUAAAUGUCUUUUGUGUAGUAUCUAGAAAUAGUGUUAGUUUGUGUAUAAAUAGUAUUGUCCGUGUCUCGUAAAUAUGAAAUGUAAACAUGUUAUCUGUUUAGAGUAGUCGUAUUGACUUGCAGUUGACUUGUGUUUAGGUGUGCCAUAGUUGUAACUUGUUGAUAUAUCUAUUGUGUUAUCUCUGCAGGUAUAGGAACCAGUAUUGCAACAGCUUGUAACAUGUAUUGCUAUAGCAAUACUAGUAACACUGUGUUGCAUAGGCAACACAGGUAGUAUGGUAUUGCUAUGGCAGUACAAGUAACAUGCCUUGCUGUUGCAAUACAAUAUGUAUAGGUAUAAAUAAAGAAGUCUUUUAAUA